UUGACCUCGAAUCAGGUAGGAAUACCCGCUGAACUUAAGCAUAUCAAUAAGCGGAGGAAAAGAAACCAACAGGGAUUGCCUCAGUAACGGCGAGUGAAGCGGCAACAGCUCAAAUUUGAAAUCUGGCUCUCGGGCCCGAGUUGUAAUUUGUAGAGGAUGCUUUUGGUGAGGUGCCUUCCGAGUUCCCUGGAACGGGACGCCAUAGAGGGUGAGAGCCCCGUCUGGUUGGACACCGAUCCUCUGUAAAGCUCCUUCGACGAGUCGAGUAGUUUGGGAAUGCUGCUCUAAAUGGGAGGUAUAUGUCUUC
rnacentral:rRNA from 1 species